UUUAGUUAAGUUAGAAAGGGCGCACGGUGGAUGCCUUGGCACUAGGAGCCGAUGAAGGACGGGACAAACACCGAUAUGCUUCGGGGAGCUGUAAGUAAGCGUUGAUCCGGAGAUUUCCGAAUGGGGAAACCCACUGUCCGUAAUGGGGCAGUAUCCAUACGUGAAUCCAUAGCGUAUGGAGGGCACA
rnacentral:rRNA from 1 species